CCCUUAGAUGUUCGGGGCCGCACGCGCGCUACACUGAACAGUUCAACAAGUCUUAACCUUGGCCGAUAGGUCUGGGUAAUCUUUGAACGCUGUUCGUGAUUGGGAUAGACCUUUGCAAUUAUGGGUCUUCAACGAGGAAUUCCUAGUAAACGCAAGUCAUCAGCUUGCAUUGAUUACGUCCCUGCCCUUUGUACACACCGCCCGUCGCACCUACCGAUUGAAUGGUCCGGUGAAAUCUCGGGACGGCGGCUUGGUCGCUUGCGUCCGACUGCUGAAACUUGAUUAAACCAUAUCAUUUAGAGGAAGGUGAAGUCGUAACA
rnacentral:rRNA from 1 species